GACGCCUGCGGCAGGCUAACACAUGCAAGUCGAGCGGAAACGAGUUAUCUGAACCUUCGGGGGACGAUAACGGCGUCGAGCGGCGGACGGGUGAGUAAUGCCUAGGAAAUUGCCCUGAUGUGGGGGAUAACCAUUGGAAACGAUGGCUAAUACCGCAUAAUGCCUACGGGCCAAAGAGGGGGACCUUCGGGCCUCUCGCGUCAGGAUAUGCCUAGGUGGGAUUAGCUAGUUGGUGAGGUAAUGGCUCACCAAGGCGACGAUCCCUAGCUGGUCUGAGAGGAUGAUCAGCCACACUGGAACUGAGACACGGUCCAGACUCCUACGGGAGGCAGCAGUGGGGAAUAUUGCACAAUGGGCGCAAGCCUGAUGCAGCCAUGCCGCGUGUGUGAAGAAGGCCUUCGGGUUGUAAAGCACUUUCAGUCGUGAGGAAGGUGGUAUAGUUAAUAGCAGCAUUAUUUGACGUUAGCGACAGAAGAAGCACCGGCUAACUCCGUGCCAGCAGCCGCGGUAAUACGGAGGGUGCGAGCGUUAAUCGGAAUUACUGGGCGUAAAGCGCAUGCAGGUGGUUUGUUAAGUCAGAUGUGAAAGCCCGGGGCUCAACCUCGGAAUAGCAUUUGAAACUGGCAGACUAGAGUACUGUAGAGGGGGGUAGAAUUUCAGGUGUAGCGGUGAAAUGCGUAGAGAUCUGAAGGAAUACCGGUGGCGAAGGCGGCCCCCUGGACAGAUACUGACACUCAGAUGCGAAAGCGUGGGGAGCAAACAGGAUUAGAUACCCUGGUAGUCCACGCCGUAAACGAUGUCUACUUGGAGGUUGUGGCCUUGAGCCGUGGCUUUCGGAGCUAACGCGUUAAGUAGACCGCCUGGGGAGUACGGUCGCAAGAUUAAAACUCAAAUGAAUUGACGGGGGCCCGCACAAGCGGUGGAGCAUGUGGUUUAAUUCGAUGCAACGCGAAGAACCUUACCUACUCUUGACAUCCAGAGAACUUUCCAGAGAUGGAUUGGUGCCUUCGGGAACUCUGAGACAGGUGCUGCAUGGCUGUCGUCAGCUCGUGUUGUGAAAUGUUGGGUUAAGUCCCGCAACGAGCGCAACCCUUAUCCUUGUUUGCCAGCGAGUAAUGUCGGGAACUCCAGGGAGACUGCCGGUGAUAAACCGGAGGAAGGUGGGGACGACGUCAAGUCAUCAUGGCCCUUACGAGUAGGGCUACACACGUGCUACAAUGGCGCAUACAGAGGGCAGCAAGCUAGCGAUAGUGAGCGAAUCCCAAAAAGUGCGUCGUAGUCCGGAUUGGAGUCUGCAACUCGACUCCAUGAAGUCGGAAUCGCUAGUAAUCGUGGAUCAGAAUGCCACGGUGAAUACGUUCCCGGGCCUUGUACACACCGCCCGUCACACCAUGGGAGUGGGCUGCAAAAGAAGUAGGUAGUUUAACCUUCGGGAGGA
rnacentral:rRNA from 1 species